AAUAAAUGACGGAUGAAUGAAUGGCGAUCCACUGGACUGCUGUGUUUUACUCUGACAGAGCACCAACCCCAUCCUUUGCUAUCCAAACACAGCUUGUUUGGAUAGCAAAGUUUUAAUAAAACCGCUCUCAGACAAAACGUCUUUGUUAAAACAACCCUAAACAAUUUCAACAUCUUCCAUUAACAUUCAGUUCAAAUUUAAAUCCAUGUUUUAAUUCCUGUGCAUGGUAAGCACGGAAAUAAUAUGCAGGGAGAAACCAGAAAUAAAAAAAGAUUGACUAGGUUUCUGACCAAUCAGAGCUAAGAGUGCCUCAUAGUUCGGAAUCGGUGUCGCAGACUCGAGAUCUAAUUGGUUAUCGGAUUGGUUAUCGCCUGGCUACACAAGUCUGAUGAAAUAUGAUUGGAUAAAAACUUUACAAUAAUAUACAACAGUUGGAGCGGCGAAACCAAGCGGAUAUAAUAUGACACGAAGAAAACAGACCACGGAGAAUCAUUUUAUCUGCAAACAAAAUCUGACCAUGUUUAGGCUAGCAGAGAACGCUUAGCUGCGUGUGAUGGCCGCCACUGUGUCCCCUUUGCGUUGUCACGCACGUCCGUGCACGUGCGUCAAAACCAUGGUAACCGCCGCUGACUUUAUAAAAGAAGCGCAGCAAUGUGAUUUUACACAUUCGCCUCUGGUCUUGCAGACAUUGACAGCAAAAGAAAAUCUGUGAGUAUAUUAAUUUGUUUUGCAAGAGCAAUGGAGCGCCACUUGCCCCCGAGGAUCUGGGAGCUCUGGACACGGUUCAGACGGUGGAGCCGCGGAGGCAGACAGCGGUGGCAGCCGGAGGGGGAAGUUGCUGUGCACGGUCGUCCACCUAGGCGUUGGAGGACUCGCUUUGAGCGAGCCACUUCCCCACGUUCUGGAAGUUGGCCCCCCCCACCUCUGGCAUUGAGGUACCCCGCUUUGACCUGCCUCUUACACACAAACUUCCUCUUUACACUGAUCUCUUUUCCUCCUCAUUCUCCUCCACGCUUUCCUGUCCCUUCCCUUCUGCUAUUCCUUCCCACACCCCUCCUCCCUAUUCUCCUGUUCCUCUUGCUCUUUUUGCUGCUCCUCAUUCUUACUCCACGCUUCUCCUGUUCGUCCUUCUUCUGUUCCUUCCACACCCACUCACUCCUUAUUCUCCUGUUCCUUCUUGCUCUCCGGCUCCUCCUCUUUCUCCUCCAUGCUCUUUUGCUCCUUCUUCUUCUAUUCCACCUUCACCCCCUGCUCCUUCCCCUCUGGUUCCACGUAUUGUGGCUCCUUCUGAGCUGCCCUGUGUUUCCCGAUGCUGGCCUUUCCCUGUCUCCUGUUAUUCAGGACCUCAGGCUCCACAGUGGAAGGGACCAGCGAGGACUUAGCGGUUGGGGAAACCAACGAGGCUCCUAGCAGCAGCAGCAGCAGCAGCAGCAGCACACCUGGUAGAGGUAGGGAGGACAGUGAUGAGGAGGGGCUGGCUCCCAAAAGACCAUGUUUUACUGUGAGACACUGUGUCACACAGUAAACUUGGUCUUUGCCUUUGUUGGAUGGCAGCAGCCACCUCUUUGUUCACGGAUAACUGGCCUCUGAUUUUGACAGGACCAGUUUAUCCUACUGUCUUCUUUUUUUUCUUGAUUUCUUUCUUCAUAAUUUUAAAUAUUCAUCCAAACCCUGAGAACUAGCCUUUGCGUCUGGCUGGGCAGUUCUUGUCCCAGGUAGCGUCUGGCACUGGGACCUUUCUUUCUUUCCUGGAUGAAUACAGGUUUGAAUGUUAAUAUUUACCCUGAGAACUAGCCUUUGCGUCUGGCUGGGCAGUUCUUGUCACAGGUUGCGUCUGGCACUGGGGCCUGCGUUUACAGUUCAGCAUGGUGGUGGGAUGGACUUUUCUUUCACCCUGGAGGCUGAGUUCAGCGCCUGGCAGGGCCGUCGACCCCCCCCCCAUGCAAGUUGCUCUAGCGUCUGGCAGGGUAACUAUUAUUUUUAUUACCAUGUUUUCCUCUACAGCCAUAGGUCAGUUCAGUUACAGUGGCACUGGGGACACAUGUCAUCUCCCACUGAAGCUCCUCAGUGGCAGAGGAGGAUGGACUGCAGUGUCAUGUGCUUUGGAGGGGACACAUGGUUGUCUGCUGUUCUAAUCAUGCUCCACACCACAGGGAGCAGUGCCACUGAUACUGAUGUACUGACCAGUGUGUCUGUCAGUCCAGCAGACAAAGGUGAGUACAAGAUUUUGAUUGUGUGACAAUUUCAGAGAUGUCAAAGGAAGUAGUUGAGUGGAAAUAAAUGUUUGUAUUACAUUCA
rnacentral:lncRNA from 1 species